UUUUCAUUUGAAGUAACAUCACAUCAUCAUAGAGAGACAUUGUCUGUCAUUUCUGGUGUGGAUACCUGAAUAACUCAGCUAGACAGGGAGCUUGAUAAGAAAAAUGAAUAUGUAGACAUCUGCCUGGACUAAUCAAGUAAUCACUGCUCUUUGUGAUCUUCAAUGCCGUUCUUCACUCAAAAACCUCAAAGCACAAAGAAUUUUUCUGAGGCAGGUAAGAGA